rnacentral:tRNA from 1 species
AAGAUAUUAGAAAAACUAUUUCAUGGCUUUGUCAAGGCCAAGUUACAGACUAAAGCCUGUAUAUCUUA